rfam:Haladaptatus sp. R4 NODE_1_length_1088768_cov_27.0371_ID_1025, whole genome shotgun sequence.
CUGAAGGGCGCGUUCGGGUCAAUUGCGGACUGCAACACCCGAUCUCACUCGUCGUACCGUCUUCCAUGACGGUCGCCGAGGGGGAACGCGUUACCGUCAG